UCUCUAUCUUUCUUCUGUGACUAACUCAUCACAGGUACCCUAACCUCGUUCACUGCUGAUCGGAGAGGGGGAAUUCCGUUUGCCUUCAUUACCACCUGCGCUUCCUCAUUGCUCGGAUAAACAAUUACUUUACUCACAGUCUCAUUCAGACCAAUGGCCUUCGUGAGCUUUACCACGCUCAUCAUUGUCUCAGCAAUAUUUAGGAUUAUUCUAAUCUUAUAUGGAGAAUGGCAAGAUACACACAUGGAGGUUAGGUACACAGAUGUUGAUUACUUCGUCUUCUCAGAUGCUGCUUCUCUAAUGGCAUCUGGGAACUCUCCCUUUCAGAGAUCCACUUAUAGAUACUCCCCUUUGCUCGCUUUUUUGCUGAUGCCCAAUUCUUUUAUCCAUCGGUCAUGGGGAAAAUUCAUCUUCUCAGCUUCAGAUUUGCUUGUGGGUUUCUUCAUACGUACUAUUUUGAAGAUGCGUGGGGUGCCUGAGAAUCUAUGUAUUGUUUCUGUGGUUUCUUGGCUCUUUAACCCUUUCACCUUUACUAUUGGGACUCGUGGAAACUGUGAGCCGAUUGUCUGCGCCAUGAUUCUUUGGAUCAUUAUAUGUCUCAUGAACGGACGUGUUUUUCAAGCUGCACUUUGGUAUGGCCUAGUUGUUCACUUUAGAAUCUACCCCAUUAUAUACGCACUUCCCAUUCUUCUGAUUCUUGACCCACAAGCCUUUCAAUCUGGUCGUCGGCCUGCUCUUCAAAGCUGGAGUCAUAUUGAACAGAAGUCAUCUCAACAAUCAUGUAUUACAAGAAUGGCUCAUUUGAUACAUCCGUGGUUCCUUAUGAAAAGUGUACUAACGAAGGAGAGAAUACUUUUUGGCUUAAUUUCGGGGUCUGUGUUCUUUUCCUGUACGGCUUUUUUCUUUUGUUUGUACGGGUGGGAUUUUCUGCAUGAGGCCCUGCUAUAUCAUCUUACCCGUACAGAUCCAAGGCACAACUUUUCUGUUUAUUUUUACCACAUCUACCUUCAGUAUGACCGUGAGCUCAUGAUAGCAGAGAAGCUCAUCUCAUUUUUGCCUCAGUUUUUAGUUCAGCUUGUACUUAUUUCAAGUUUUGCUGAAGACCUCCCGUUUUGCUUCUUUGUACAGACUGUGGCAUUUGUGGCAUUUAAUAAGGUGAUUACAGCACAGUACUUUGUAUGGUUCUUCUGUCUGUUGCCACUGUUGCUGCCUUGGAGCAGCAUAAGACUUAAAUGGAAAGGCCUUUCAUGCAUAAUCAUAUGGGUAGGAGCUCAGCUUCAUUGGUUGAUGUGGGGGUAUUUGCUUGAGUUUAAGGGGAAGAAUGUUUUUCUUCAACUAUGGAUGGCCAGUAUCUUCUUUCUGGCUGCAAAUACAUACCUUCUUGUUUCAGUUAUUCGCAAUCACAGGUACUCUCCUGUUUUCACUCAGUUGGGAACUACUAAAGAUGAUACAAGGAAAAUCAAAUGAUGGAAUAAUCUGAAUCUUCGAAGAGUUACAUGGGCUUUCAUAUUCUCUCUGUACUAAUAUUGGUGUGAAGAAGAAACUAAGUCUUUUUCAGGAGAAAGGGAUCUAAGGCGGUGUGCAGAGCAUGCAUAAGAAGCAGAAAGUAAAGUAUUACUCCAAUAAAACCAGCAACUAGAGCUCCUUUUACGUGGUCGCAAUAGUUUUGAACUUGGCUACAUAUCGGCAGCCAACCUGCGUAAGUGUUUCCUUUCUUUCCCACAUAAGCUAUCGCUAAAGCUGCUGAAAUGCUUGAGCUGAGCAACAUCGCAAAAACCUGACCGAAUGAAUAAAAUUUAAACAGUAAGUUGUAGAACUUUUUAUUUUGAUUUUAAAUUUGAAAGUUCAUCAAGGGGUUAUAAAUCUAAACAUUAGUCACAGUAUUUGGGAUUCUCUCUAGCUAUCAAACCCAUCUUAUUAUGCUGCAUGAAGUUUGUGAGAACAUCUAAAAGUUCUUCAAUUAGGAUAUUGAUUCAUCACAACAAUUAAAUUAUAGAAUGUUUCAAGUAUAACACAAUUUGAAGUGAAAAGGCAGGUGAUGGCAACUUUACCAAAUCCAUGGCAAUUACUAGACGCCAAAGCAAACUUUCUGAAGGGAGGAAAAUAACCAGAAACCCAUAAACACUGACAAUGGCAUUUGCAAUCAUGAAGUACCUAUAAACCAGUGUUGUUAGCAAACAAAUAAAUAAUAAAGAAAAAAGUAGCUAUCUAGCCAUUAAUAAGAUUUGAAGAUAUGCUAGAAUUCUUACUUAAAGGCAGGUGUUUGUGAGUAUUUGGCCUCAAAAGAGAUGGUUAAGAAGCUGGCCUUCUCAUGGCUUGUAGCCAUGACAAUGGUGGCGGAAAGGGUAGCAGCGAACGCAGCAAGCCUCAAUAUAAUCAGGCCAAGCCUCUUGAUCUUGGCCAUGGCUACUACAAAAUGGAAAUGCAAUACGUUAAGAUAAGAGAUGAAAGAAAUGGGGUUAAAGUAAUAAAGUAGAUGAAUGAAGACAAUGGUAGGGAUUGGUAAGCAAGCACUAAAAACAGUUUAGUGAGCAGGUAUUGUUAGGAGGGAAAUCUUGGAGGGUAGGAUGGUGCACUUGUAUUUUAGUAUUUUCUUUGAACUUUUGUUUAGUUAGUUGAAAUUCUCCAACUGCCUGCCACCACCUCCACCACCGGUUCUGUCCCGAAGUGUUUAUUUUCCACUUUUUUCAAGCUGUUAGAUGUUGAGUAAUUGAGCUAUCUUAUUUGUAAUAUUUCCUGAUUUAGGUAGAGUAACCUUAAGUGAUGUUUCCAAAAAUUGACUGUAUGCUUGAUUGAACUUCUUUCUUCAAAA